GUGAACUGAAUGAUUAAUUGUAAUAUUUAAUCUUUUUCACCUCCUUCCCUUUCUAAUUACAAGUGUUUAUCAGAAGUAUGACUUACUGUAACUGUUUUGCAUUUCUCAAAUCUCAAGGUAGUCAUCUUCAUUGUUAGAUUGGUGAUGUUGCUUCAUCUUGAUGUAUGUUGGCACUACCGUUACACGGUUUACAAUUUGCUUGGAGAUUGGCAAUUUCUUGUUGGAGAAGUUCUGUCGUGUACGUUAGAUGUGCUCAUCUUCGAAUUUGCAGGUGCUCAUAGUUGAGCUUCAUUUUUGCAUUUGUCAGCCUGGCAUCUCGAGUACAGAAAAAUUGCAAGGUUCAUCUGACGAUAAUGGAUGGUUGCCGCGCACUCCUGGCAUGCCUGGUGUGGAGGAUGGUACAGCAAGAUUCUUGGAAUUGCUUGCAGGAAUAAGGAAUGGGGAGCACACAUUGCCUAGCUCAUUUGUCUAUCUGCUUAUUCCAGGCCUCUUUAGCAAUCACAGCCCCUUAUACUUUGUUGGAACAAAGAAAUUCUUUUCGAAGAUGGGUCUAGCUUGCCAUAUUGCAAAAAUUCACAGUGAGGCAUCUGUUGAGCAAAAUGCAUCGGAACUCAAGCAAUACAUCGAGGAGCUUUAAUGGGGAUCCGGUAAGCGUGUGAUGCCGCUGGGGCACAGCAAGGGCGGCGUUGAUGCUGCAGCUGCAUUGUCAAUCUACUGUUGUGAUUUGAAAGACAAAGUUGCUGGUUUAGCACUGGUACAGAGCCCCUAUGGUGGCACUCCCUUGGCUUCUGAUAUUCUUCGCGAAGGCCAGAUUGCAGACAAAGAAACCCGCAGGAUCAUGGAACUUUUGAUAUGCAAGCUAAUUAAGGGUGACAUUCGGGCACUGGAGGAUCUUACUUAUGAGAAGCGAAAGGAGUUCAUCAUGAAGCACAAGCUACCAUAUGAGCAAAUUCCUCUGGUUUCCUUCCACUCUGAGGAAGCUAGCUGCCUGUAGUGAUUCCUUUAUCUGCUGCAAUGGCUGUGACUGCACUUCAUCUACAACUCAGGUACGGGGAGAAGAGUGACGGAUUGGUGACAUGCCGUGACGCUCAAGUUCCAGGUUCGGUUGUGGUCACACCGGACAGGAAGCUUUGACCAUGCCUGGAUGGUUUAUUCCACAACGAAAAAGAAUCCUAGUGAUGCUGAUGCCUCAGAAAUGUGUGAGGCCAUUUUAACUCUGCUUGUAGA